GGGGGUGACAGGCUUAGACAGAUAAACUAAUUUUUAUAUGUGCAAAGUCGAACUGAGUAAUUCGUAAAAAGGCUCAAUAAAGAUAAGUGCAAACUUGUCACAAAAAGCAAAGGCUGUGGUUUCACCAUAUUUCGCUUUUGCUCCAGCAUUAGCUUAGUCUAAACUGGCGGUCAAUUUCGCUGCUGUUUGAUAAGCAAAUUGAUUGUUAUAUUCUUCAAACUAGGAUUUAAGAAUGUUUCGGCUUAUUUCCGAAGUCAAGAAAAUCGGAUUUUUAAGGUUUUGUUUAUUUAAGAGCGUGUCCAAAAGCUUGCUUCUGAGGAUAUUUUACCAAAUUUUGAUCGAGAUGAAAUAAAAAAUUUUAAGGAAUAUUAAUAUAUUUCGAGAAAUUUUUUACAAAUCUUCGGGCGAAAUUUGGAGAAAUAGAGCCAGAAUGAAGUUUCUGGACACGCUCAUACUUAAUAAUCUUAAACACCAAACAAAUAAAAUAUACUUUGUAGACUCAUUUAAAAACUUUAUUUGGACGCGAGUUCAACUCUCGCCACUUCCACAA
rnacentral:tmRNA from 1 species